UCAGUAUAUCACAUUAAAAUCUCAAUAGCUAAUAGGUAGGUAUAUGUUUAGUCCUAAAUGUUGUAAAUUGUAAUGUUUAUUUUAUUACAGAUAGCUUAGAAGAUUUCCAUAGAGUGGUCAAUGGUGCAUCUAAAGCUAAUAAUAUUCAAAUUAUUUUAAAGCACGUAUUUAAAAAUAUAACAUUGAUAAAUUUGACAAAUACAAAUCAAUUGGAUUACUUUAUAAACUUCAUCUUUAAAAAAUUUCAAUUAGGUGGGAAUGUGCCAAAACCAAAACAAUUUUGUAAACACUCUAAUCCAUUGCAGUAUACUAUCAUUAAGAAACUAACUACAAAAGUAUGAAUGAUUGAAUAUUUACAAGCUGCAACAAAUACUAAUAAUUAAUGAUUAACAGAGAUAUAUUUAAAGAAAACUGGCCUAUUGAUAUUAUAUACAAUAUACAUCAUAUAUAUAUAUAAUUUAUAAAUGUUAAAUUAAUUUAAAUAAUUAUUUUACAUAAGUUGCAAUUGCUGUUAAAGGUUUUCUUGAAAAGUAUUUAAAUUAGUUAAUUAAAAAACUUAUUUCAUUUA